UCAAAACAGCGGACUUCGGUCCUUGCUGCACCCUUGUCCUUUGCGCACCGUAUUGUUUCCUCGGCGGGCUUGCCUGCCGGUUGGACAUUAUCAAAACCUUUUUGUAGUUGCAAUCAGCGUCAGAAAAACAAUAAUUAUUA
rnacentral:misc_RNA from 1 species